CUGUUUGAUUAUGGUCAUAGGGAAAACUACUUGAAAUUGUAUUAUAUACACAAAAAGAUGCUUUUCUGUAAUCCGAGUCCUGUAGUUUGUAUGCCAUUUCUCCCUAGUUAGUUAGUUGCUUUGUUUUGUUACCAAAAUUGCUUCAGUUCUCUAAGUUGAAUGACUAAUCGUCAACUUCGAUUGAUUAUGUUUAGUAACACUUUGUCUAGUGGUAAAUAUAUAUGGGGAUUUUGCAGGAUAUCUUUGAGUACAAAGGGCAUUUGGAAGGUUAAAAAUUCUGUGAUUGUUUUCUAGUAUGAUGGCAGACGGAUGUGCGAAACAAAUAACAGAAAUGGCUCAGGAACAUUAUGUCUAUGUAAGUACUGAUGAUUGGGCUGAACAUUAACUUUGUCAAAGACUGUCAGCUUUCAAGGAGUAUGUGCAGGAGUUCAAGGAACUCAGGAGCCAUUUGCACUGAAAUCAUCUUUGCCAGGUAAGAAAAGUGCAUUUAGUGAUUUUCCGGUACAAAAUUGAUGCACAAGUGCAAAAUGCUAGUUUUUUUUUAUCACGCUGGCAGGUUGCCUAUCUAUCAUAUUCAAAUGCUCUGGAUGCUGUCAAAGCAGAAGGGUAGAAUGAACGUUACAUCAGCAUUCUUAGAUUUCAGAAGAGCUUGGGGUAUCUGUGUAGUGGAGUUCAAUAUGUACUUUGGUCACAUUAACUUACCUCGUUUUUGCAUGUUUUUUUAUUGUGUUUUCUUCUGUUUCAAAUCAGUUUGGGUUGGGUUACACUCUGUAAGAGGAGUUUCAAGCCUAUAUCUAAAUGCAAAUGGAUCUUACUGGCUUGCUGAGAGAUAGAACCGUAUAUAAGUUUGAGGUUCCAACUGUCAAUGAAUGGAAUUGAGUAUUAAUACUGAUGUUUGUUGAUGCCUUACACAUACUUGAUUUCUAAAUACAAGCACUAAAGAUCCAUUUUACCCCUUACGUAGCUGUAGUAAGUUGAUACCAGAGUUGGCCUAGCGUAGCAUAACACCAGUAGUAAGUACAGUGUGCUUCCCUUCCUAAAUUUUCUAUUUGUUGUGGAAUCAUUUGAGGUCUCUUCAUUUGGAACAUCAAAGGGAAUAGUGAACUUCUGUUUCCUACCACGAAUGAAAUAGAGAUCUUUGAUGGGACGGUCUGCAUAAAGAAUCCACAAUGAAGGGUUCAGCUAAUGUAUUUGCUCUGCAGUGAUCAGACUAAUGAGAUGAGGCAUAGUGUUUAAUGGAAUAGAAAGAGGAAUCUGAUUUUACAGCCUGUCCUUGAUUACUUUCCGUCUCUCUUAACCAAUUAGACAUUUGUAUUAUGUAUUGCUUCUCUAUGCAGAAAUAGACAAUAGUUGAGGACACAGACUUGUUAAUCAGAAGGGCUGAGAGAUGCUUGGAAACAGGAGCUAACAUGAUCAUGAUGGAACAUUGUCGAACAAGCUCACCUGAUGUUAUCUUUUGUAAUUUAUUAGAAUAUUUGGCAUGAAAGAACUUCUCAUGUUUUCAGUAGUAUAUCCAAAGCUUUUGAGGAUAAAUUGUGUUGCAAUGCUCUCAGAACUACAUUUUCAAGCAGGAGGUACUGAUGGCUUCAUGCCGAGACAGACUUCCAACCUCUUGUGCAUCCUGCAGGAGACCAUCAUUUUUUUGUAUCAGUCUGCUGAAUUUUUAGCAGAACGAUACUGUCAGUCUGUUCUCAAACUAGGCUAACAACUGCUGGCUACGGCCUACGGUUAUUACAAAGAAAAUAAGAACCCAAGCCCACUCCUUCAGUUUCAACGUAUAAAGACAUAAUCAACAUUAUAAUUUACUCAUAUUUACGAAAAAAUCUCUCCUUAAUACCUAAUUCUCGUCUCUCCUUCAUCACUCGUUUCUCGAAAAAUUGCGAAAUCCUGUUUUCAUCUUGCAGAACUCCCAUCUCGAAUCAUCACAUCAUAAGAUACACUUGUUAAUUGAUCGAAAUGGGCACUUUCAAAAGAAAACAUUCAAAGUCACACAAGGAAAUAGUUGAGGAAGAUGACUUUAGCGAUGACUUGAGUGAAGUAUCUGAGCCUGAGCAAUCUGAACCAGAAUCUGAAUCUGAAUCAGAAGAUGAGGAGGGAGUUAUAAAAUUAGCUGUACCUUCAAAAACGUUUAUAUUCAACAGAGAAGGUUUGCAAGAGCAACUUGAGGAUAUAAGCUGGCCGGAAAAUGUAGACUGGAUCCACAAACUCACCGUCGAUAUUGAUCAAGAUGAGGAGGUGGAUGUUAAUGAUGAUUUAGCACGUGAAUUAUCUUUCUAUAACCAGGCGUUGGAGGGAACACGACAAGCCUUUGAGAAGCUUCAAAAAAGAAACCUUCCAUUUCUCAGGCCUGCUGAUUAUUAUGCAGAGAUGGUCAAAACAGAUUCCCACAUGGUGAAGGUGAAGGGUCGACUCUUGGAGGAGAAGAAACGGAUUGAGGAAGCUGAUGAGAGAAGAAAAGCAAGAGAUGCUAAGAAAAUAUCGAAAGAAGUACAGGCAGAAAAGCUUAAAGAGAGAGCCAAGCAAAAGAAGGAUGAUUUUGAAUCGGUUAAAAGGUGGCGAAAACAAAGGCAGCAAAGUGGAUUUGAGAAGGGAGGCGAUGAUGAAGAUAUGGGUCUUUCAUUUGAAGAUGGGAAAACAUUUGACAGAAAUAAAAAGAAGAGACCUGGGGUUCGUCCAGGAGAUAGGUCAGGUGGGUUGGGAAACAAAGGCAACUUUAAGGGAAAGAAAGGUGGUGUUAAUAAAAAGAAAAGCAGCAAGGAGCGCAGGGAUUCAAAGUUUGGGUUUGGAGGGAAGAAAGGGAUGAAGAAACAAAAUACUGCUGAUUCUACAAAUGAUUUUGGUGGAUUUAAUAAAGGUGAUUCUUCAGGAAACAAGAGGAGGAGGAAGUUUUAAGUGAGCGUUGUUCGUUCCAAUACCAUCCUGCAGCAGUUGAUUCCGGAUAGUGCUUGAAACUUGAAACCACUGCACUUCUUUUAUUGGUGAUGGAUCUACAGCGCCUCAGUGGACGUAGCCUGGUUUUAAAAAAAGUUUCAAGACAAUUUUUGCAGCAGUGAAGCUGGAGAUCCUUGAGUUGGAAGUUGCCAAGCUUGUUAAAUAGUAUCACCACCAGCAGGAUCACUUAGCCACCAUUCAUAGAAUCGGAACAGAAAACGCAUUCUUUGAUCGCGUUCUGCCACUGUCCCCUCUUUUUCAUCAGGAGAUAUUCUACCGAUGGACAUGUACCGUAUGAUGCAUAUCUUGCAGACAAGACCACUGCUCUCUCUUUUGUUCUCAGACUGAACGAACAAUGGAUGCAGCUAAGCAACCUUACUUUGAGAUGAGCUCCAGACUUGUUAAAAAAAUGUCACAUAUUCCUCAAGGUAGUCAAGUAUUUUGUGGCAAAAUAUCUCCUUGCUGCAAUAUUAAGAUAAGUGUGGGAGUCUGAAAUUCCGUAGGUAGGUUCUGCACGUGUUAAAGACCUCAAUGGAGAACUCAA